rnacentral:misc_RNA from 1 species
UACUCUCACACUUCCGAUUGUUUAGAUUGGGAGCGGUGGACUUGGGUGUUGCUGCGUUACUGUGGCUCACCUUAAAUGCAGUAGUGCACCUUUCGGUUGGACAUAGUACGGCGUGAUAAGUGUCUUCGCCGGCACCUCCUCACAGAGGGUGGCUGAUCGGGAGCUCUGUGCUUCAAACCGUCUUCGGACAACAACUGACA